CGCAUUAGCUAGUUGGUGAGGUAAUGGCUCACCAAGGCGACGAUGCGUAGCCGACCUGAGAGGGUGAUCGGCCACAUUGGGACUGAGACACGGCCCAGACUCCUACGGGAGGCAGCAUG
rnacentral:rRNA from 1 species